rnacentral:rRNA from 1 species
ACGGAGGAUGCAAGCGUUAUCCGGAAUCAUUGGGCGUAAAGAGUCCGUAGGUGGAACUUCAAGUCUGCUGUUAAAGACAGAAGCUCAACUUCUGAAAAGCAGUGGAAACUGAAGAACUAGAGUUCGGGAGGGGUAGAGGGAAUUCCCAGUGUAGCGGUGAAAUGCGUAGAGAUUGGGAAGAACACCAGUGGCGAAGGCGCUCUGCUGGACCGAAACUGACACUGAGGGACGAAAGCUAAGGUAGCGAAAGGG